rnacentral:rRNA from 1 species
AUUGAACGCUGGCGGCGUGGAUUAGGCAUGCAAGUCGCGCGACGACCUUCGGGUACGGAGCGGCGAACGGGUGAGUAACACGUGAGAAACCUACCGCAUCAUUCCGGAUAAUUGGUCGAAAGGCCUUGUAAUACGGGGGAGGUUCGUUGAUGGGCAUCCAUUAACGAACGAACGAGCAAUCGGUGCUGUGAUGGUCUCGC